CCUACGGGUGGCUGCAGUGGGGAAUAUUGGACAAUGGGCGCAAGCCUGACGCAGCAACGCCGCGUGAAGGAAGAAGGCUUUCGGGUUGUAAACUUCUUUUGUCAGGGAAGAGUAUAAGACGGUACCUGACGAAUAAGCCACGGCUAACUACGUGCCAGCAGCCGCGGUAAUACGUAGGUGGCAAGCGUUGUCCGGAUUGACUGGGGGUAAAGGGCGUGUAGCCGGGUUGACAAGUCAGAUGUGAAAUCCUGCGGCUUAACCGAAGAACUGCAUUUGAAACUGGUGAUCUUGAGUACUGGAGAGGCAGACGGAAUUCCUAGUGUAGCGGUGAAAUGCGUAGAUAUUAGGAGGAACACCAGUGGCGAAGGCGGUCUCCUGGACAGCAACUGACGGUGAGGCGCGAAAGCGUGGGGAGCAAACAGGAUUAGAUACCCGUGUAGUC
rnacentral:rRNA from 1 species